AAGCUGGCAGAACAGAGCAGCACACCAAGCAACAGGAAGAUGAAAGUGCGCUGUGUACACAGAGCUGAGCUGACAGGCCAGAGAGGGCUGGAUCCAGAGGACCAAUUAGGGCAUACACACCAGGGCUGGAGGCAGAUAAAGGGGCAGGAUGCGAGCAAUUCAAGAACAUCUAUUCACUGGCUGCUGGGGCUGAGCCAGAGCCUGGCUGCCAUGGAGAGAAGGGCACAUUGGCCCGCUCUCUUAGCUGUCAGCGGAGCCCUUGGGUUAGACCGGCAAUCCUUUCAAAAGCUCUGUCUGAGUACUUUCUGAGCAUCACCUCUGCCUGCAGAAAUAUCUGUGUCGCCCCACGGGACUGAACCUGCGACAUUUCCACCAGAUGCAAUAUAAUGUUACCCAAGUUUGUCAUGAAUAACCAGAAAUUGUGACCAGCAUCUGAGGGGGAACCUGAAUUGCCUAUGCUCUCCUAUAUAUUUCUCAGAGCCCUCAUUCAAUAAUUGAUGGAAGCAGAUGCAGAGAUCCAUAGCCAAACACUAGGCCGAGCUCCAGGAAUCCAGUCAAAGAGAGGGAAGAGGGUUUCUAUGACCAAGGGGCAUCAAGAUCAUGAUGGGGAAACCUACAGAGACAACCGAACCAAGCUGUCACUAUCUUGUCUGUGUUGAAGAAAAACUUGAAUGCAGUUUUUCUCUGUGGAUGAAGAUUUGAGAUAUUCUUUCUAUUCAAAUUCAACAAAACUGAAGAGUCUCUGACUCUGCUGUGCACUGAGCACUGUGCUAGGCCCUCUCAGGCAGAUUGGUGCCUAGCCCAGCUGUCAUCAGAGAGACUUCAUCCAGUAACUGGUGGAAACAGAUGUAGAGCUCCACAGCCAAACAUUGGGCUGAGCUCUGGGAAUCCUGCUGAAGAAAGGGAGAAAGGAUUGUAGGAGCCAGAGGGGUCAAGGACACUACAAGGAAACCCACAGAAUCAACUAACCUGGGCUCAUAGGGGCUCACAGAGACUGAACCAACAACCAAAGAGCCUGUGUGGGACUGACCUAGGCCUUCUGCAUACAUAUGACAGUUGUGUAGCUUGGUCUUCUUGUGGGAAUCCUAACAGUGGAAGCAGGGACUGUAUCCAACUUUUCUGCCAUCUUUUGGGACCCUGUUCCUCAUACUGGGUUGCCUUGCCCAGUCUUAAUACAAGGGGAGGUGCCUAGGCACUUUACUGCAAUAUGAUACACCAUGUUUGGUUGAUAUCCAUGGGAGGAGGUCUGCCCUUUUCUGAAUAGAAAUGGAGGAGGAGUG